rnacentral:rRNA from 1 species
GAACGGGUGAGUAAUGCAUCGGAACGUGCCCUGAAGUGGGGGAUAACGCAGCGAAAGUUGCGCUAAUACCGCAUAUUCUGUGAGCAGGAAAGCAGGGGAUCGCAAGACCUUGCGCUUUAGGAGCGGCCGAUGUCGGAUUAGCUAGUUGGUGGGGUAAAGGCUCACCAAGGCGACGAUCCGUAGCGGGUCUGAGAGGAUGAUCCGCCACACUGGGACUGAGACACGGCCCAGACUCCUACGGGAGGCAGCAGUGGGGAAUUUUGGACAAUGGGCGCAAGCCUGAUCCAGCCAUGCCGCGUGAGUGAAGAAGGCCUUCGGGUUGUAAAGCUCUUUCGGCGGGGAAGAAAUCGCAUUCUCUAAUACAGGAUGUGGAUGACGGUACCCGAAUAAGAAGCACCGGCUAACUACGUGCCAGCAGCCGCGGUAAUACGUAGGGUGCGAGCGUUAAUCGGAAUUACUGGGCGUAAAGCGUGCGCAGGCGGUUUCGUAAGACAGACGUGAAAUCCCCGGGCUCAACCUGGGAACUGCGUUUGUGACUGCGAGGCUAGAGUUUGGCAGAGGGGGGUGGAAUUCCACGUGUAGCAGUGAAAUGCGUAGAGAUGCGGAGGAACACCGAUGGCGAAGGCAGCCCCCUGGGCCAAUACUGACGCUCAUGCACGAAAGCGUGGGGAGCAAACAGGAUUAGAUANNCUGGUAGUCCACGCCCUANACGAUGUCAACUAGGUGUUGGGAGGGUUAAACCUCUUAGUGCCNNNGCUAACGCGUGAAGUUGACCGCCUGGGGAGUACGGCCGCAAGGC